GAUCUGGCUCAGGAUGAACGCUGACAGAAUGCUUAACACAUGCAAGUCUUUGGCGAAGCUGUGCUUGCACAGCCUAGCCAAGGCGGACGGGUGAGUAACGCGUAAGGAACUUGCCCUGCAGUCAGGGAUAACAGACGGAAACGACUGAUAAGACCUGGUAAAGUCAGGCGGACUCAUGUCCAGCCUGAUGAAAAGAGAUGCUGCAGGAGAGCCUUGCGU
rnacentral:rRNA from 1 species